AGAGUGACGACUAUUGAGCAGUUCAUUACUGAUUGACAGCUUUGAGCAGUUCUCUACCGUUAAACAACCUACCGGCUUGACCAGCUACCCAUCUACCUACUCAUCUACCUUCUUCACUAGCUACCUAUCUACCUUCACCACCUUCUCAUCUACCUUCUUCACUAGCUACCCAUCUACCUUCACCACCUUCUCAUCUACCUUCUUCACUAGCUACCCAUCUACCUUCUCAUCUAGCUUCUUCACCAGCUACCCAUUUAACUUCACCGGCUACUCAUCUACCUUCAACACCCAGCUUUAUCUCGUGAGCAGUUACAAUGCCACGUGGUAAAUCGUCCCGCCG